rnacentral:rRNA from 1 species
UACGGAGGGUGCAAGCGUUAAUCGGAAUUACUGGGCGUAAAGCGUGCGCAGGCGGUUUGUUAAGUCUGCUGUGAAAUCCCCGAGCUCAACCUGGGAAUUGCAGUGGAUACUGGCAAGCUGGAGUACGGUAGAGGAAGGUGGAAUUCCCGGUGUAGCAGUGAAAUGCGUAGAGAUCGGGAGGAACACCAGUGGCGAAGGCGGCCUUCUGGACCAGUACUGACGCUGAGGCACGAAAGCUAGGGGAGCAAACAGG